AGAGUUUGAUCAUGGCUCAGGAUGAACGCUAGCUACAGGCUUAACACAUGCAAGUCGAGGGGCAGCAUUGGAGUAGCAAUACUCAGAUGGCGACCGGUGCACGGGUGAGUAACACGUAUCCAACCUGCCGCUUACUCGGGGAUAGCCUUUCGAAAGAAAGAUUAAUACCCGAUGGUGUAAAGAGUUCGCAUGUUCUCUUUAUUAAAGAAUUUCGGUAAGCGAUGGGGAUGCGUUCCAUUAGAUAGUUGGCGGGGUAACGGCCCACCAAGUCUACGAUGGAUAGGGGUUCUGAGAGGAAGGUCCCCCACAUUGGAACUGAGACACGGUCCAAACUCCUACGGGAGGCAGCAGUGAGGAAUAUUGGUCAAUGGACGAGAGUCUGAACCAGCCAAAGUAGCGUGAAGGAUGACUGCCCUAUGGGUUGUAAACUUCUUUUAUAAGGGAAUAAAGUGAGGGACGUGUCCCUUUUUGUAUGUACCUUAUGAAUAAGGAUCGGCUAACUCCGUGCCAGCCGCCGC
rnacentral:rRNA from 1 species